rnacentral:rRNA from 1 species
AUUGAACGCUGGCGGCAUGCCUUACACAUGCAAGUCGAACGGUAACAGGUCUUCGGAUGCUGACGAGUGGCGAACGGGUGAGUAAUACAUCGGAACGUGCCUAGUAGUGGGGGAUAACUACUCGAAAGAGUGGCUAAUACCGCAUGAGAUCUACGGAUGAAAGCAGGGGAUCGCAAGACCUUGUGCUACUAGAGCGGCCGAUGGCAGAUUAGGUAGUUGGUGGGAUAAAAGCUUACCAAGCCGACGAUCUGUAGCUGGUCUGAGAGGACGAUCAGACACACGGGGACUGAGACACGGCCCAGACUCCUACGGGAGGCAGCAGUGGGGAAUUUUGGACAAUGGGCGCAAGCGUGAUUCAGCAAUGCCGCGUGCAGGAUGAAGGCGUUCGGGUUGUAAACUGCUUUUGUACGGAACGAAAAGCCCCGGGUUAAUACCCUGGGGUCAUGACGGUACCGUAAGAAUAAGCACCGGCUAACUACGUGCCAGCCGCCGCCGUAA